rnacentral:rRNA from 1 species
CCUACGGGAGGCUGCAGUGGGGAAUAUUGGACAAUGGGCGAAAGCCUGAUCCAGCAAUGCCGCGUGAGUGAUGAAGGCCUUAGGGUUGUAAAGCUCUUUUACCAGGGAUGAUAAUGACAGUACCUGGAGAAUAAGCUCCGGCUAACUCCGUGCCAGCAGCCGCGGUAAUACGGAGGGAGCUAGCGUUGUUCGGAAUUACUGGGCGUAAAGCGUACGUAGGCGGCUAUUCAAGUCAGGGGUGAAAGCCUGGAGCUCAACUCCAGAACUGCCCUUGAAACUAGAUAGCUAGAAUCUUGGAGAGGCGAGUGGAAUUCCGAGUGUAGAGGUGAAAUUCGUAGAUAUUCGGAAGAACACCAGUGGCGAAGGCGACUCGCUGGACAAGUAUUGACGCUGAGGUACGAAAGCGUGGGGAGCAAACAGGAUUAGAUACCCGUGUAGUC